GCCUGAGUGGCUCAGUCAGUUAAACAUCUGACUUCAGCUCAGAUCAUGAUCUCACGGUUCGUGGGUUGGACCCCCACGUCAGGCU
rnacentral:tRNA from 1 species